AAAAUCAAGUCUAAAAACUCAAAGCUUUCAUAGAUAUAAUAGAAGUGUGAAGGUAAAAAAUAAAUCCAAAUUUUUGUGUUAAUAGUAGUUCAAGAACAUCAAACUAAAUACAUAUACUUCAAAAUAUAAGACUAUCCAAAGUCAUUAAAAACAGGUAAAGAAGAUAGGAGAAGAUAUAUUUUCUCCAAAUGCACCACAACUUUUUAUAAAUAUAACUUCGAAUGAUUGGGUUUGACAGGCCUAGCUAGGCAAUAUAUACAAAAAUAAAACAAGAGUAGUAUAAGUACAGUAACACGUGUACUUAGUUGGCUGGUGUAAUGAGUUAUUUUAUUUUCUUCAUAUUUAGUAAUGUUUAUUCAUUACUCAAGUUUCAAGGCAAGCAGCGACGACGCGCGUGAAACCCAGAGAAGACGAAAUCGUGACGCAACAGCAGAGCGUCAAAUCAACGAUGCCCUCCUCGCGUGAAGAGCGAAGCUCCCAAUGUCUCCUUCCCUUUUUCUGGCGCACAGCUUGCACCUGCCAACCGCCUGAAAGGAAAUGUCCUUGCUCCGCGAUUUUUGCCUUUCGCUCGCGAGAAUGAACGUCGCGUAGCAUCUAAGGACAGUGGGAUCAAUCCUAAGCGUCCACCCCUUUCCUCUUUGGGAAUAAGUCAAAUUCUCAAAAGAAAAUGGUUGUUUCCUGAACAGUGAAAGGUUGGCUUUGAAUUUUGAACUAGGUCUUGAGUUUUUUUUUUCGAUUUUGCCCUCACCUUUUCCCUUUAUCAAAUCCUAAUUUCGUUCUUAUAUAAACUUCCUUGGAUCUUCUGUGAGGGGGAGAAUUUUUUUUUUUAAAAAAAAAUUUAAAGGAAUAUUUUUGGGUGGAACUUUUGAGAAAGAAGGUGUAAAAUAGAGAUGAUUUCGAGGAGGAGUUUUUUUUAUUUUUACAAAAAAAGUGUAUUGAAGAGACUUGUGAAAACUUGUAAGAGGCUUAGAAACGUUGGAAACAGAGAAGGAGCGAGCUCCUCUUGCAUGCAAUGAUGUGGUGAUUUCGGUCAUUGAAGAGCCUCUAGACCAAUUUGCAAGAAUACUUGGACCUUUCCCUCAAGUUAUUGGUAGGUCUUCAAGUUCGAGGAUGUUGCCAUUAUUUUACUCUAGCUAUGAUGUUGAUUGUGUCAAAAUACUAUUAUUCUUUCCUUUAUCAUUUGAGAGUAUCGUUGUAAGCCUAUAAUGGCAAGUUGUACUUGUGUAUGGGGUUAUGCUCAACUUUGUAAUACUCUUUAGAUGGUUUAAUGUGAGACAAUACUAUAAGACUAUUUCCUAUG